GGCAGAGGGAGCCCGGCCCCCGUGCGCACGGUGGCGCAUGAGGAAAGUCCCCCCACCGUCCGGGCAGGCGACCGGGCGCAAGCCCGGGGCGGGAGACCGCCGGCACUGGAACAGCAACGAGACCCCCCGGUCAGAGUGAUGAUGCGCGAGGGGCCGCAAGGCCCCCGGCGCGAGCGGGCCCGGCCCGCGAGCGCGUGAAGCGAGCCGCAAGGUAACCCAGUUAACCCGUUGAACGUCGACGACCGGGAACGGAUGGAACGGCGAACCCUCGCCGGUGCAAGCCCGCCGCGCCGGUAGCCCGGACACGGCGGCGGGCGCUCAGCCGAAUGCCGGGCCGAACAGAAGGGGGCUUACUCCCCUCAGCC
rnacentral:RNase_P_RNA from 1 species